UACGAAGGGGGCUAGCGUUGUUCGGAAUCACUGGGCGUAAAGGGCGCGUAGGCGGCCUGAUAAGUCGGGGGUGAAAGCCUGUGGCUCAACCACAGAAUUGCCUUCGAUACUGUUAGGCUUGAGACCGGAAGAGGUAAGUGGAACUGCGAGUGUAGAGGUGAAAUUCGUAGAUAUUCGCAAGAACACCAGUGGCGAAGGCGGCUUACUGGUCCGGUCCUGACGCUGAGGCGCGAAAGCGUGGGGAGCAAACAGG
rnacentral:rRNA from 1 species